ACUGUGCCUAUUAUACGCGAAAAUCAGGUAUUUCAGUAGAGGGGAGAUUUUAAAUCAGCUAUUUUUCAAUAACGACUGAACCGAUCGACUUCUUUUUGGACUCCUUCGAUUCGCGUUGAAAAAUUGAAGGAAAAAGUAUUCUGGGUACCGAUUGUGUAUUUAUGCGAAGUAGUGAAAAUUACAAAAUUUGUGGCUUGUGAGCAGAGAUAAUGAAAGAUAAACAAAAAUGUGUGUGAAAUUCACGUAUUUCGGAAUUUGUCGUCUCCGGAUCAAGAAUGUGUCCAGGUUCUUAGUGCUUCCAAGAGAUGGCGGUAUGAGCGCUAACGAAAGAAAGGAAGAGAACUUUAAUAUGUGAUGAGAGAGAGAAAGAGAGCAAGUGAGCGAAUAAGUGAGCGACGAUCAAACGAGCGAGUGACUGUGAGAAAGAGAGAGCGCAACAAGAGCAAGUGCGAACAUAAUUUAUUUACAUAUAUAUAAUACUUCUGUUUAUUUAAGAAGAAAACCAACAGAUGACAACCGUAAAGAAAUUGAAUUUAUUUUUUGGCAAAUAAUAGACUGUCUACGGCCGAACAAAAACUUUUGAAAAGUAUUAUCCACUAUUACAGAAUAUUAUUGAAAAAAUGGUUGCUCAUACGCAAGAUUUCGAAUCUCUGCCAUAGAAUUGCCAAUUGACAAUUUGUUGCCUUUAAUCGACUUGUUUCACAAUGAAAGCAUUAAAGUUGAAGUUUGUAAAACAGUCAUAAAAGGAUUGAAUAUGCAAAGCGGACCUAUUACGGACUCCAUUAUCAUAAAUGCUCUGAUAUUUAUUGCAACAAGGAUAAUGCACGAUUCUGUUAGUGUGUAAAUAGAUUAGCAGUUGAUACUAGUAGAAAGAUAGUACAUAGCCAUCACACGAGAAUUACGUCGGCAUUUGUGCUGCAUUCUGUUUUAUAUUACUAUACCUUUAUAUAGUAACUAACUUUUGUCCAUACGUGUCCAUUCAAUAAUAUUAUUUACUAUCUGGACAAGUUGUUCUUUUAAAUCAAUGUCUAGGUCAACAAGCUGAUGCCUGUUUCAAAUGCCGCUUUAAGUUUAGUACCAGAAAUGCUGGAAACCAUUGAUAUUGAUGGAAGACAAAAAAGUUCGCGACCAUAUCUGCUUUCAUACUUGUCGAGUUUCUUAUCAACAUUACUAGUAGUUCCAGUAUGUGUAACACGAUGUAGUAUUUAAAAUAAUGAGAGGCCUGCUGAAUGCGGUUCAACGUUAUUUCGAAGAGAACGCUUUGAUCAAGUCACAUUUAUAUAUACAUACAUAUUUACGUGUACUCGAUCUUCUCUCAUCUCAAGUGUAAUACAGGAAAAUUAUCCGUUAUCACAUUGACAAGGUUGAUUCAAACGAUAAAUUGUAUGGAUUUGAUCAAAAAUUUAUUGGCGAAGUCAAUAAACUUUGUUCGAAAAAUGUCGAAGAACUUCUAAAUCAUCUCAACUAUCUUGAAUCUGCUGAGCAAUUUGACAAACAAUUUGCUCUAGUGCGUGAGCUGAUCAAUCAAUUGUUUUAUUAUUCGUGCAGAUUUGAAAAAUCCUGCGUUGGCAAACAUAGCUAUAAAUUUGUGACACUUGUCACGACAUAACGCAGUAGAUACGAAAGUAUUAAUUAUGCGUAUCAAUUAGAACUUUGAAUAUUGCAUAUACUGAUUUGUUUCUAAUCUUUUCCGAUUAUUUCUUUGCAUAUGAGAGUAAAAGCUUAUUAUACGACAGAAAAGUCAUCAUCGAGAAUACGAACAAUUUGCUGAUAUACUAUGAUAUAUAGGAAAAUGUUGAAAUGAAUGACAGUAAUACAUUAAGAACAAUCACAACAUAGUCUAAAUACAUUUUAUUGGCAGUUCUUUUGGAAGACUUUUAUAAUUAUAUGCAACACACACUUUUCUGACUAGUUGGUUUUUCUAUCAAGUCAAUCAGCAACAAUAGUAGAACAAAAGAGAUAAAAGGAUAUAAAAUAUAAUAAUUAAUUGGUAACUAAUCAUUAUAUACUGUGUGUGUGUACUAUAUGAUUUUUAUAUAUUACAUCUCUUUUUAUCUAUAAGUCUACUUAAAGACUUGCACUUACUUUCUGUUUCUUUUGCUCGUGUUGCACU